rnacentral:rRNA from 1 species
AAGACCUUGCGCAUUUGGAGCGGCCGAUGCCUGAUUAGCUUGUUGGUAAGGUAAAAGCUUACCAAGGCUUCGAUCAGUAGCUGGUCUGAGAGGACGACCAGCCACACUGGGACUGAGACACGGCCCAGACUCCUACGGGAGGCAGCAGUGGGGAAUUUUGGACAAUGGGGGCAACCCUGAUCCAGCCAUGCCGCGUGAGUGAAGAAGGCCUUCGGGUUGUAAAGCUCUUUCAGCCGGAACGAAACGGUUACGGAUAACACCCGUGACUACUGACGGCACCGGAAGAAGAAGCACCGGCUAACUACGUGCCAGCAGCCGCGGUAAUACGUAGGGUGCGAGCGUUAAUCGGAAUUACUGGGCGUAAAGCGUGCGCAGGUGGUUUUGUAAGUCAGAUGUGAAAGCCCCGGGCUCAACCUGGGAACU